rnacentral:rRNA from 1 species
AUUGAACGCUGGCGGCAUGCCUUACACAUGCAAGUCGAACGGCAGCACGGGAGCAAUCCUGGUGGCGAGUGGCGAACGGGUGAGUAAAGUAUCGGAACGUGCCCAGUCGUGGGGGAUAACGUAGCGAAAGUUACGCUAAUACCGCAUACGAUCUAUGGAUGAAAGCGGGGGAUCGCAAGACCUCGCGCGAUUGGAGCGGCCGAUGUCAGAUUAGGUAGUUGGUGGGGUAAAGGCUCACCAAGCCAACGAUCUGUAGCUGGUCGGAGAGGACGACCAGCCACACUGGGACUGAGACACGGCCCAGACUCCUACGGGAGGCAGCAGUGGGGAAUUUUGGACAAUGGGCGCAAGCCUGAUCCAGCAAUGCCGCGUGCAGGAAGAAGGCCUUCGGGUUGUAAACUGCUUUUGUACGGAACGAAACGGUCCGGGUUAAUACCCUGGGCUAAUGACGGUACCGUAAGAAUAAGCACCGGCUAACUACGUGCCAGCCGCCGCCGUAA